UACGUAGGGUGCGAGCGUUGUCUGGAAUUACUGGGCGUAAAGGGCUCGUAGGUGGCCAACUAAGUCAGACGUGAAAUCCCUCGGCUUAACCGGGGAACUGCGUCUGAUACUGGAUGGCUUGAGUUCGGGAGAGGGAUGCGGAAUUCCAGGUGUAGCGGUGAAAUGCGUAGAUAUCUGGAGGAACACCGGUGGCGAAGGCGGCAUCCUGGACCGACACUGACACUGAGGAGCGAAAGCCAGGGGAGCAAACAGG
rnacentral:rRNA from 1 species